CCUACGGGUGGCAGCAGUGAGGAAUCUUGGUCAAUGGACGAAAGUCUGAACCAGCAAUGCCGCGUGCAGGAAGACGGCUUUAUGAGCUGUAAACUGCUUUUGUACGAGGGUAAACGCAGGUACGCGUAUCUGCCUGCAAGUACCGUAUGAAUAAGGAACGGCAAACUCCGCGCCAGCAGCGGCGGUAAUACGGAGGAUUCAAGCGUUAUCCGGAUUUAUUGGGUUUAAAGGGUGCGUAGGCGGUCGGAUAAGUUAGAGGUGAAAUCCCGAGGCUCAACUUCGGAAUGGCCUCUGAUACUGUGCGACUAGAGAGUAGUUGCGGUAGGCGGAAUGUAAGGUGUAGCGGUGAAAUGCUUAGAGAUCAUACAGAACACCAGUUGCGAAGGCAGCUUAC
rnacentral:rRNA from 1 species